AAGCAUUCGCGCCAAUAUGCCCUUCAUCAGGACACAUAUAAGUGUCAAUCCAGUUGAAGAGCAUAUUGGCCUGGAAGCUU